rnacentral:rRNA from 1 species
GAUGAACGCUGGCGGCGUGCCUAACACAUGCAAGUCGAGCGAACAGAUGAGGAGCUUGCUCCUCUGACGUUAGCGGCGGACGGGUGAGUAACACGUGGAUAACCUACCUCUAAGACUGGGAUAACUACGGGAAACCGGAGCUAAUACUGGAUAAUAUAUCGAACCGCAUGGUUCAAUAGUGAAAGACGGCUUUGCCGUCACUUAUAGAUGGAUCCGCGUCGCAUUAGCUAGUUGGUAAGGUAACGGCUUACCAAGGCAACGAUGCGUAGCCGACCUGAGAGGAUGAUCAGCCACACUGGAACUGAGACACGGUCCAGACUCCUACGGGAGGCAGCAGUGGGGAAUCUUCCACAAUGGGCGAAAGCCUGACGGAGCAACGCCGCGUGAGUGAUGAAGGUCUUCGGAUCGUAAAGCUCUGUUAUUAGGGAAGAACAAAAGCGUAAGUAACUAUGCACGUCUUGACGGUACCUAAAGAGAAAGCCACGGCUAACUACGUG